GGCCUCGUCUCGGGUAGCCUCACGGUUUUCACCCGGGCCACGGGGUCCUCCUCGUGGCAAACCAGGGUUCUCUUAACUGGGCGCUCUGGGGAACCACGACGUUUACUUUGAGAAAAUUAGAGUGUUCAAAGCAGGCGUUCGCUUGAAUACAUUAGCAUGGAAUAAUGGAAUAGGGCUCCGGUUCUAUUUUGUUGGUUUUCAGCUACCGAAGCA
rnacentral:rRNA from 1 species